UGGGGAAUUUUCCGCAAUGGGGGAAACCCUGACGGAGCAACGCCGCGUGGAGGAUGAAGGCCCUCGGGUCGUAAACUCCUGUCGAUCGGGAAGAAUGCGUCCGACCCAAUACGUCGGCACGUUGACUGUACCGGUGGAGGAAGCCACGGCUAACUCUGUGCCAGCAGCCGCGGUAAGACAGAGGGUGCGAACGUUGCUCGGAUUUACUGGGCGUAAAGCGCGUGUAGGCGGACUCGCAAGUCGGUUGUGAAAUCCCUGGGCUUAACCUAGGAACUGCAUCCGAAACUGCUUGUCUUGAGUAAUGGAGAGGGUGGCGGAAUUCCCGGUGUAGAGGUGGAAUUCGUAGAUAUCGGGAGGAACAUCAGUGGCGAAGGCGGCCACCUGGACAUUUACUGACGCUGAGACGCGAAAGCGUGGGGAGCAAACAGGAUUAGAUACCCUGGUAGUCCACGCCGUAAACGAUGAGAACUAGGUGCAGCGGAUAUUGACCUCUGCUGUGCCGUAGCUAACGCGUUAAGUUCUCCGCCUGGGGAGUACGGCCGCAAGGCUAAAACUCAAAGGAAUUGACGG
rnacentral:rRNA from 1 species